AGCGUACGCUGGCGGCAGGCCUAACACAUGCAAGUCGAACGAAGUCUUCGGACUUAGUGGCGGACGGGUGAGUAACACGUGGGAACGUGCCUUUAGGUUCGGAAUAACUCAGGGAAGCUUGUGCUAAUACCGAAUGUGCCCUUCGGGGGAAAGAUUUAUCGCCUUUAGAGCGGCCCGCGUCUGAUUAGCUAGUUGGUGAGGUAAAGGCUCACCAAGGCUACGAUCAGUAGCUGGUCUGAGAGGAUGACCAGCCACAUUGGGACUGAGACACGGCCCAAACUCCUACGGGAGGCAGCAGUGGGGAAUCUUGCGCAAUGGGCGAAAGCCUGACGCAGCCAUGCCGCGUGGAUGAUGAAGGUCUUAGGAUUGUAAAAUCCUUUCACCGGUGAAGAUAAUGACUGUAGCCGGAGAAGAAGCCCCGGCUAACUUCGUGCCAGCCGCCGCAGUAAAAC
rnacentral:rRNA from 1 species